CUUCCACUCUUCCACUCCUCCACCCCACUUUCCGUGUUCCAGCCCGUUCCACGAGCCGAGCAGAUACUCACAAUCUUGGCAUUAAUCAGGUCCGGAGGGCGGUAUCCGCUGCGCUUUCGGAGACACAUCCGCCCUGACUCAGUCGCUGAAUCGGAAGAAGAAGGAGACCUCCUCCUCCUCCUCCCCCUUCUGCUGCUCUCCUCCUGCUCGGGUUUUUCCCAGAGAGAGAGAGAGAGUGCGAUAGAGAGACACCCGCGGAGAGUGCGCGUGCGAGAGAGGGAUCGAGAUCACCGCCCCGGUGGACACGGGCGGCAGAGCGCAUGCGCCGAGCCAUACGUCCUUCCAAGCAGGGGACCCGGGGUUUUCUUUAGUAAAGCUACUUUAAGCGUGUUUUCUAGAUACGUAUUUCCCUCAUAAGCACUGUAGACAUCAUUAAUAUUUUCCAAAACUUAUCUAAGAAAAGUUUCAAUAACUAAAUAUUUGUUGCACAAAAGCAUAUUUACUUGCAAAACACAUAAAUGUGCUUUAUUUUUAUUACAAAUGCUUGUAUACGUACCAAAAAUAUAAGAUAGUAAUAGGAUUUCGUCUUAGCUUUCUACUUAUUGUUUUUUUUAAAGUUAUGUUUUCAGUGCAUUGUGCUGUGGGAGGUAACACCAAAUAUGUGUAGAAAAAUGGCCUAUUCUUUUUUUUGUUAUUAUUCUUAAGGGAUAUCUUUAUAUUCAAAACAUAAUGCAGCUUGAGAAGCUGAAAUAUCAUGGCACAAUGCUGCUUGACAUGGUAUAGGCUGGCAUUUAAAAGGCAGCCAAUCAAGGAGCACCAUCCAUGUCAUGGUAUGAACGAAUGCAACCAUGACAGAGCCACUACCGUGUUUUGCAAUUGGCUGCAGACACUUGCUGUUAGAACUCUCCUUGUUGUUGCAGCGGUUUCCACAGUUGAGCUCAUAACCCCACAGAGUCUGAAACACAGUCUGACAUCAGGUCAGAUUAGAAAGUGAAUGCUGUAAUAAUCUUUGUUUAAACAGAUAAAACCUCACUGAUGUCCUUUUCAAGAGGCAGGUGGUAAGAUAUUAGCAAUGUCUACAAGUAUCAGCAUUUACAUUCACGCAGUGACAUUAAUUAAUUUAGCUUUGAAAGCAUCAGAGCAUGAACACUAAUAGCAUGUGCGGUUGCACCUUAAUUUAUUUGGCUUAUUUGGUGUGAGAAGUUAUUCUCAGAUCCUCUGUUGGGUUUUGUCUAGAUUUUUCUUGUCACUUUCUUUAUGAAAUGACAUUUGAAUUGCUUUUAUAUCUCAUUUUAAUUGUGACAAAAUGUCGUUUCACAGACAUUUUUACAAAUAUACUGCACACUUUGCACAUUUUCUAUAUGUUGGUCUCGACAAAUAAUUGCAUAUUAGUGCAGAACAAUGUAAAGUAUUAUAAAAUCUAUCAAUUCGGCAUGUCCUGUUGUUUCUAGAUGCUAGAAAUGCAAAAUUUUCAACAGGCUUUGUGUGAAGUGCCUAAAAUAUGAUUUAAUUUAACUUUAGAAAGUCUUUUAUGCCCCAAU